rnacentral:rRNA from 1 species
AACGAACGCUGGCGGCAGGCCUAACACAUACAAGUCGAACGCCCUAGCAAUAGGGAGUGGCAGACGGGUGAGUAACACGUGGGAAUAUCCCCCUCAGUACGGAAUAGCCCAGGGAAACUUGGAGUAAUACCGUAUACGUCCGUGAGGAGAAAGAUUCAUCGCUGAGGGAUUAGCCCGCGUCGGAUUAGCUAGUUGGUGAGGUAACGGCUCACCAAGGCGACGAUCCGUAGCUGGUCUGAGAGGACGAUCAGCCACACUGGGACUGAGACACGGCCCAGACUCCUACGGGAGGCAGCAGUGGGGAAUAUUGGACAAUGGGCGCAAGCCUGAUCCAGCCAUGCCGCGUGAGUGACGAAGGCCUUAGGGUUGUAAAGCUCUUUUGGCGGGGACGAUAAUGACGGUACCCGCAGAAUAAGCCCCGGCUAACUUCGUGCCAGCCGCCGCAGUAAGAC